rnacentral:rRNA from 1 species
AGAGUUGAUCUGGCUCAGAACGAACGCUGGCGGCAGGCCUAACACAUGCAAGUCGAACGCUCGUAGCAAUACGAGAGUGGCAGACGGGUGCGGAACACGUGGGAACAUACCCUUUGGUUUGGAAUAACUCAGGGAAACUUGAGCUAAUACCGGAUAAGCCCGCAAGGGGAAAGAUUUAUCGCCGAAGGAUUGGCCCGCGUCCGAUUAGCUAGUUGGUGAGGUAAUGGCUCACCAAGGCGACGAUCGGUAGCUGGUCUGAGAGGAUGAUCAGCCACAUUGGGACUGAGACACGGCCCAAACUCCUACGGGAGGCAGCAGUGGGGAAUAUUGGACAAUGGGCGCAAGCCUGAUCCAGCCAUGCCGCGUGAGUGAUGACGGCCCUAGGGUUGUAAAGCUCUUUCACCCACGACGAUAAUGACGGUAGUGGGAGAAGAAGCCCCGGCUAACUUCGUGCCAGCAGCCGCGGUAAUACGAAGGGGGCUAGCGUUGUUCGGAUUUACUGGGCGUAAAGCGCGCGUAGGCGGAUCUUUAAGUCAGGGGUGAAAUGCCGGAGCUCAACUUCGGAACUGCCUUUGAUACUGGAGAUCUUGAGUUCGGGAGAGGUGAGUGGAACUGCGAGUGUAGAGG